rnacentral:rRNA from 1 species
UACAGAGGUCUCAAGCGUUGUUCGGAUUCAUUGGGCGUAAAGGGUGUGUAGGUGGCGCCGUAAGUCGGGUGUGAAAUUUCGGAGCUUAACUCCGAAACUGCAUUCGAUACUGCGGUGCUUGAGGACUGGAGAGGAGACUGGAAUUCAUGGUGUAGCAGUGAAAUGCGUAGAGAUCAUGAGGAAGACCAGUGGCGAAGGCGGGUCUCUGGACUGUUCCUGACACUGAGACACGAAGGCCAGGGGAGCAAACGGG